rnacentral:tRNA from 1 species
UGCUGCGCCGGCUCGGGAUCCACACGCUCGCGGAGUUCGCGGCCCUGCCCGGCGGGGACGUGCUGGCGCGGUUCGGGUUCGACGCGGCGC